ACUGCUAGGCCUACCUGGGAAAAGAAAAAAAUACCAUUUUAUACGAUGUUUCUGUGAUUUUACACCAUCUAUGAUAAUCAAGAUUGAGCACAAGCCAUCACUGAUCAAUAAUAUUUUAAAAUCAUCCCUGACAAAUUGAAAAACACGAUUGAAAAUAAGACCGACGCAAGAACACUCAACUAGCCACAACAACGGCCGAGACAAGACUGCACUGAACGCAGUCCACACUCGCCAUUCCCUCCGGGAAACCUCCCCCCAUUUCUCCCCGCUUUCGUAUCAUUAAAUAGUAAAUAAUUUCUGUAAUUCCUCAUUGUUUUGCAGUAUUUUUUUUUUUCAUAUAAACAUAUGAGAAUUGGUGUUUUCAUGUGAAUGAUAGUCAAACAUAAAAUAAAUUAACAUUAUUUUCGUGAAUCCUAGAAAUCCACUGGGGGGACUGCAGUCUCAGAGCUUGGACACACAGGGCGGUUGUAACCGAGCGGUUGCAACCGCUCGGUUACAUUUUCAAUGAUAGCCUAUGGAAUCGUUCACAUGUAACCGCGGCGGAACCGACGGGGACCUCGCAACCGCGCGGUUGGCCAGCGUGUCGAGAUACAUACAGACAUAUUACAUCGCACACACAGGGCGGCGCGCCGCUCGGUUUGAAGGCAUUGGGCGACGCUAUUGGUUGUGCGCCAGCCAAUGAGAUAACACGAUGUGCGUUACUAUGGCAACCUUGGGCUUUGCCUGAUGAAUCACGUUAGGUAAUACCACUCAGUCACUGCAGUACUGCUGAGGUAGACGUUAUGGAGCGGGAUCAUUUUGAUACGGAUUUAUUUAUCAAUGAGAUAGAAAAACGCCCAUCAAUAUGGGACAUGAAAUCUCCCCACUACAAGGACAGGGUGAUGAAGAAAAAACACUGGGAAGAGGUCGCUGACAUUUUCUGUCCUGACGGAGAAAUCAAGGAAAAACAGAAUGUAGGCCUGGUCUUGCAGAAAAAGUGGAAAAAUUUAAGGGAUUCCUUCUCGAAGGAAAUGAAAAAACAAAAGAGUCUUCCAUCUGGAUCAAAGGGAAAAAGCGGCACCUACAUAUAUUUCAGGAGGUUACAAUUUUUGGAAAGUUCAGUCGCUAGCAACGAAACUACUAGCAACAUUGAUGGAGAGGAAGAAGCACAAGAUGAUAUUGACACAACAGAACAUCAUAGAGCGGAAAUCACACCAGCAAAGAAAAAAGUGAAGUUCAAUUCAGGCGAUUUGCAUAUUGCUAAUAUUUUGGAAAGGAGUUUAUUGGCAAGGCAGAUGGAAACUGAGCAACAGAAUGAUGAAGAUAAACUCUUUUGCUUGUCACUCUAUAGCGAACUGAAAAAAGUGCCAGAAAAUAACCGCUUGAUGACGAAAAUUGAACUGUUACAUAUUGUUCAUCGUGCUCAAACACUCAACAAUCCACACACCUAUAUUAAUCAGUCAUACCCAUAUCAUUACUCAGGAAACCCUCAUCAUUCACAACCUUACACAGUUUCUGGCUCUCAACCAGGCCACCAGACACACCAGAAUAUACAACCAAGUACAUCAGGAUACAACACAAAUAACAUACUAACACCACUUCCAGCUCCUUCACCAGGAACUGUAAGCCAAGCUUCUGAUACACAGUCAGACUAUAUUGAAAUGUUUGACUAAUUUGUUCACUGACAGCAAUCCUAAAUACGUAGCCUAUGCGUGCCACGGAGAAAGCAGAUGGGCUACUUGUGUUAUAAAAUAAAGUGAAUGGUCAUUUUUUCUUGCUCUGUAUUUUCAUUUAAAAAAUUAGUAUUUGUAUCCAAUGUACUGGCAACUGGAAAUUUAUAUGUAACUUUUUUCUUUGUUUUGUAUUAUGAACAACAACAGCAACAACUUAUAAUAAAGUAUUCACCUUAAUGUUAUGACGAGUUUCUCUUCUGGGCAGAUGGAAUCCCUCAUCAUGGUGUUGGUUGAAGAUAUGUCCUCCUUGAUUAGUUCCAGCAAGUCAUCAAAUGAUUUCACCGACAUUCUACAGUAAUUGAAAAACUUUGGUUCAUGCUCUCUCAAGGUAGGGUACAGGGUGGUAAACAAGCCGUGCGUAAGUCUAUCAUGUAGAAUCGGAUGAAUCCAAUGUUGUCUUUGCCUCUGCUUGCGCCGUUUCAAGCGGCGAUGUAGCAACCAAACGCAUGCUACUUCCUCCACAUCCAUCGUGACACUGCCAAGUAAAAAUUCAGGUGAAAAAAAUAA